rnacentral:rRNA from 1 species
UCCUCAAACAUCUACACGAAAACUUUCGAUGGGAUUGAUGUAGCUGGAAGAAGGUUUACCGAAAAGGUCUUGGACGUGGUUCAGAAGAUGCCCAGCUUGAAAAAUAUUUCCUUCAUAGUACAUUCUUUGGGUGGUCUGUUUGCCGGAUAUGCUAUUUCUAUACUAUAUUCACUGCAAGCAAAAGAAACUGGAAGCGGUGUUGGUGUCAUGCCGACAGUUGGAGGAUCUGAAAUAUCACACACUUCAGGAUUAGCUGACAUUGCUGGGUUGGAGCCACUUAAUUUUAUUACAUUGGCAACCCCACAUCUUGGUAUUAGAGGGAAAAAUCAGUGAGACACUUAUUUUGGGACGGAGGGAGUACAUAAACUUGCAGUACCUUUAGCUCCCUUCAUUGUCGGACGCUGUGGUGCCCAACUCUUUCUCACUGAUGGAGAACCUAGCAAGCCACCUCUUCUUCUACUAAUGACAUCUGAUCAUGAGGACAAAAAGUUUAUGUUAGUGAGGAGGGCAGAUUAUUAA